rnacentral:lncRNA from 1 species
CCUACCUGACUUGUGCUUUGUCACACAACAGGUUUCUUUUGCUCUGGGCAUUAGAGAAAUAAGAUGGAAAUGACAGAGAUCUUUGAUAGAAAUGUAAAGAUGGGAAUACCCACAAAAUCAGCAGAGUAGGUCAAAAUUCAAAACAGAGAACUGCACUCAAGAGUUCCGGAUCUGUUGUUGCUCUAGUCAAAGGCCAGGGAGAGCUCCUGCUCAGCACACAGAAGUGGGAAUCAAGCAGCUCCUGCACCUAAGCAAGCCCAUUCCUCUCAGGAUCAGCAGCUCUGGCUGUCACAGCUCCUCAGCAGGACAUGCAUGUGAGUGCAUUAAGGUAACCCUGAGGGUUUUCCAUGUAGACAGCACAGGGGCAGGGGACAGUUUGAGUACCAAAGUCCUGUCCAGGUUUGUACAAUCCAUGCCAACAAGAUCAUGUUAGCAUUUCACUGAUAUCCCUAUCCAGGAUAGAGAUUAUGAGACCAACAUGUGUGUAGGUAUGGGGCAUUCCAUCACACCUCCUGCCUGCAAACAUCACCCUGGCACCGUGCCAGUGCCUCCCUGGAAUCUCCCUGGCAUCACCCCUGCACCAGCCUGCCAUUCCAGUCACUGCACAGGAC